GACGAACGCUGGCGGCGUGCCUAAUACAUGCAAGUAGAACGCUGAAGGAGGAGCUUGCUUCUCUGGAUGAGUUGCGAACGGGUGAGUAACGCGUAGGUAACCUGCCUGGUAGCGGGGGAUAACUAUUGGAAACGAUAGCUAAUACCGCAUAAGAGUAGAUGUUGCAUGACAUUUGCUUAAAAGGUGCAAUUGCAUCACUACCAGAUGGACCUGCGUUGUAUUAGCUAGUUGUUGGGGUAACGGCUCACCAAGGCGACGAUACAUAGCCGACCUGAGAGGGGGAUCGGCCACACUGGGACUGAGACACGGCCCAGACUCCUACGGGAGGCAGCAGUAGGGAAUCUUCGGCAAUGGACGGAAGUCUGACCGAGCAACGCCGCGGGAGUGAAGAAGGUUGUCGGAUCGUAAAGCUCUGUUGUAAGAGAAGAAAGAGUGUGAGAGUGGAAAGUUCACACUGUGACGGUAUCUUACCAGAAAGGGACGGCUAACUACGUG
rnacentral:rRNA from 1 species